GACGAACGCUGGCGGCGUGCUUAACACAUGCAAGUCGAACGGAAAGGCCUGCUUUCCCUUGUGGAUUGCGGGUACUCGAGUGGCGAACGGGUGAGUAACACGUGAGUGAUCUGCCCCCAACUUGGGUAUAAGCCUGGGAAACUGGGUCUAAUUCCCGAUAGGACUGCAGGGUGGUGCCUGUGGUGGAAAACGAUUUUCUAGUGGUUGGGGAUGAGCUCGCGGCCUAUCAGCUUGUUGGUGGGGUAAUGGCCUACCAAGGCGGCGACGGGUAGCCGGCCUGGGAGGGUGGACGGCCAAAUUGGGACUGAGAUACGGGCCAGAAUCCUACGGGAGGAAGGCGUGGGGAAUAUUGGACAAUGGGCGGAAGGCUGAGGCAGCGACGCCGAGUGGGGGAUGACGGCCUUCGGGUGGUAAACUCCUUUCGACCGCGAGGAAGCCACCUGGUUGGAAGGGUGGUGACGGUAGUGGUAGAAGAAGCACCGGCUAACUACGUG
rnacentral:rRNA from 1 species